rnacentral:lncRNA from 1 species
UACAUAGACACACACAUAAACAAAAACACACAUAAUAAAUAGAAAAACAUAAAACUAAAUGGAAAGUCUGACAUUAAAAAUGGAAAGAUGGUGAAUUUUCUAAUUCUAUUCUACCCCAAGAAGAAUGCCUAAUCUUUCUACAAUUAAACUGUUUUAAGAAGUGAAAGAAACUAAAUAUAUUGUCAUAUUACAUCACGAUUUUUUUAUGACUAGUUAGAAACAAGCAAGUGUGUAGGGAUAAAAUUUAGGUUAGAAUUUGGAAAGGAGUAAGAUGUUGUGUAGCAAAUGCAUGUUUAUGAGCACAUGGUGCAUUUAUUUCUUUAUUUAGUUUUAUUUCUUUAUUUAUCUUUAUUUAUUUAUAUAUUUAUUUAUUUAUUUUGGAAGUCAUAUAUUUUGGAAGUCAUAUAACACAUUAACCUCUCUGCUAAAAGCUAUACUCCUCAACACACUUGAUAGUGCAUUUUAUGUAAUGUAAACUAUAUUACAGUAGUGUUAUAAAAUUAUUAUAUUAUUUUAUAUUGUAAUAUAGCAUAUAUUGCAUAUUUCUUUACCUUUAAAUAUUUGUGCAUAUAUGUUAUUAUUCACAAUGGCUUAUAAUAUUUUUCAAUCUCUUAUAAUACAUGCUGGCCUCUUCUCACAUUUGUUUGUUUUUUUUUUUUUUUUGAACUCUACAUACCUUUGCUUAGCUCUGACCCACAUGUCUUUCUGUUCUUCAAGUAGCCGUGACAUAGAACAUGCUGUCUCUUGAGACAAGAGAAAAGGGAAACCUGAAGUAAACCCAUUAGUGUUGAAUGGGUCUGUAUGGACAGAGACCAUUUCCUAGUUGUUCACAUAGGCUUACAGCUGACAUGUAACUAAAUGGGGAAGCCUGGAGCCAAUGGAGAAAUAGAUGCACUGCUAACAUGGAAUUAAGCAUUUUUUUUCUGCCAACAAGAAUAUCUAGCCCACUGAAAAAAAAUCCAGCAAGGCAGAAGGAAGAGUUAAACUUGAAUCUUUAGCAGCAUCUCUGAUCCUGUAUGGUACCCUUUGCUACAUAUCCUAAAUAGCUUUUACUGUCAAUAUGAUACAAUCUAGAAUGAACUAGAAAAAAAUUUUAACAGAAGAUAUUUUCUAGGUCAGAUUAGCCUGUGGAUAUUUUUUGAGGGGCAGCUUUAAUUAACUGAUGGAGUAGAUAUCAGCCUACUAUGGGCAGCACAGUUCCCUAGACAGAUAAUCCUAAACUGUAUAAGAAAUCUAGAUGGGUAUGAGUGAGCUUAACAGCAAGCAGCACCCUUCCUGGUUCUUUCAGUGCAUGUUGGCUAUGAAGUGAAUUUCUUGAUCAGAGUUAAUUCUGUGUGGAGCAACAAAUGGGCCUGUCUUCCCUGUGAUAGAAUGUAACUUGGGAUUUUAAGCCAAAUACACCUCUUCCUCCCCAUGUUACUUUCAGUUUGUGAAUUUUAUCACAGCAGUAGAAACUCAACUAAGUCACCAUCCAAGUGAUUAACUCAUCUUCCUCCCUCCUAGGAAGAUGCACUAUAAGCUUUGCUCUCCUUACUAGGAAGCAUUUCCCAGAAGGUCCUGAUGUCCCCCUCCCCCUGCCCCCACGCUACACCUUCUGUUCCCUGUUCAGUAGACAACAUAAUUAUGAUUGUUUUUCUAGGGUUUUUCUGUGUAUUUAGUGGAAUUAGGUCUUCAAACUUAUUACAUCAGUAGGGUUUUGGUGUUGGUACUAUUUUGCAGUUUGUUUUCUGAAGCUACCAAUUGCUAAAUUUAAAGACAUUUUCUCAAGUUGUACUACUAUAAGAUGCUUCAAUUCUGAACAUCUUCCCAAUUUCUCUGCCAAGUUCUACAUUUUUGUCUCUCUUCCAUCUUUUCUGGGUGAUCUAUACAAUCCCAUGUCUUCAGUUUUCACUUCUACAAAGUCUCAUUUCACAUAUUGUUCAAAAUUCACAGGAACAUUAAAGUAAGGGUCAAGUGGUUAUUUAAUUGAAGUAAUUAUAAUCAUUUUGCAUAUUAACACUGCUAAUCCUUUCUGGAGCAGGUUGGGAACAGAAAUCUCUUUCUUAGAAUUUUAAGAGUAACCUUAAGUUUAAUAAAUUUCAUAAAUGCUACUCUGUGCAGUUCAAAGUUGUUUGCAAAUUGUAAAGCAAAGCCCUAGGCUGGAAACCCAGCAUUAUGCUCAGGAUUAUAUCUUGGCUUAAGGCCCAUAUCUACUGCUUUGCUCUCCAUUUUAAAAUCAAAUAUGUAAGAAGGAAAUAUCCUGAGGUUGUUUGUAAUAAACCUCAGAUGUGCCUCAUGGACAAAAAAUCUGUAGGUUGAACUAUGCAGCACAGUCUUGUAAUUCUAUGACUUGUCCUAGGGGGAUGUGAAUAAAGGCCUGUUCACCCAGACAGGGCAACAACAACAAGCUAAAGCAUAGAUCCCAACCAGGGCUGGCUUUAGGGAAACUAGUCUAUUAGUCAUGAGAGUACAGAAGAGUAGUUUCCUUUAAGAGAGGAUCUCGCCUCCCCAGCAGUGGUUCAUACAUUGGGGAAGACCCAUGAACUCUCUAAGGAUCUUGAUUUUUCUUAGCUAUGUAUGAUUCUUUAACUUGGAGUCUCCUGAGGACCUAGGAGCCCUCAUUCUUUCUUUAGGAGUAUGUGUUUCAAUUCAGAGGAAGGGACUGCAGAAUGUUUGGGACAAUAACAAUGCAAAAGGUCACAUUUUCAUGUAAACAUAGUGCCUUUAAGCAAUAAGCAUAUUUAGCAGGAAUGUAGGUUGAUGCUUCCUUGCUCUGCUAUCCCGGGUCACGGUUCUUAUUUCCUAGAGUCUGAUAUCACUGCUGAUCCAUGAACAUCUCUGAAUUUCCUGUAUUAGCUGGAAAUUUCCACUAUAUCCUAGGUACAGAAUGAAAACUGUGGCUGUCCUUUUUCCUGUUUAUUAAGGUUUAGGCAAGGCCAUGAGGAACUUUUGACACAGCAAUGCAAAUUAGGAGACUUGAUUAUUCAUAUUGACCUGAAUUUGAAUAUACGGGGCUAGUUUCAUUUUGUUAGGCAAUAAUUUUAUUGUUGUUGAUGUUAACUUUUCUAAGGUACUAUCAUUUGGAGAUUAUGACCAUGUUGAUGAUGAGACACCUGUAAUGUUAUAUCAAGUUAGUAAAGACUGAAAGGCACUUUACAAAAUCAGUUCAUUGUCUAAGUUGUGUGAUGUUCUAGGUUUGACCCCAAUAUCUAAAACAAUAAAACAAAAUAAUGUAAAAACAAACAAACAAAGAAACAAAAACCAGUAAGGAAACCCUAGAGGGAGAAAAAAAAUCAUUGCACAGAGCCAUCAGCCACAUCAGUGUGCACAGUUCAUAAGGGCUAGACUUGCAUAAUAAUUUCCCUAAAUAAUUUAACAAAUAAAUUCAAUUCAAAUAAAUACCUAAAGUUUAAGUCUCUGUCCACGAACCCUUCCACAUGGCAGGAAAGUAUAUUGGUGUCCUGGACUCCAUAUAUAGCCUAAAAACUGUGCUAUUUAGAAGCCACAAUGGUAUAGAACUGGGCUUUAAAAUGUAAAAAUACUGACAGGGAGAUGCACUGACUGAAGGAACUUACAAGUUUGGCUUCAAACAUGGUACACAGGCUAAUAUGAUCUCUCCAGCAGUGGGAGAAAAUUUAUUGUGGCUUUUUCAAUGUCCUGUGCCAUGAGUCCAAACUCAGCAAACAGCUUAGUGGUCAUUUUCAUCUCGUGAACCUUUGUACUCAGAACAAGUAAACUUGACCCUCUACUGAGAACCCUUGCUACCUCCUAAACUACUGUGAGGGUGACAUGCCUGUGGCAAACAGGUAGAUAACACUAGAAUUAGUGAAUUUUGUGCUCUUUGUUUGCAGAACUAUCUUUAAAAUUAUAAAAAUUAAAAAAAAAUAAAUUAAAAGGCAGAUUGGAAAGGAUUAAGUACUAAAUUAUUAAUGGGUGAUUAAUUAAUAUUGAUAAAACUCUGAGUAAAUAUAUCCCAGAUAGCGACCAUCUGUGGGGUGCUAUGAUUUUAGGCAGGUGAUGUAAUUACUCUCAUUAAUAUAAAGUACAAUGCAAUUGGGUGAACUAUACUGCAAAUUCUAACACUGACUAAGGAAAGAUGGGAACUGCUCAGUUGUAACAAAUUUGCAUGUAUACUAAAAACAGAUCAAACUGUGCUGGGGCCUAGACUUGGGGACAGUUGAAAACUCACAUGCAGAAUGUAGCUUCUCAGUUUUUCUGUAAAAGUAAAAGCCUAUAAAGUACUAUUUUUAGAAAGUUCUAAAUGGGAUUUCUUUUGUUUUUGGAAUAAAAUUGAAAGUGUUUACUCCCCAAAUAAAUAUGCAAUUAAAUACAUUAACAUAGUCACUCUGGAAAACAAUAAGUGCUCCUCUAAAAAUAAAAUAAGCCAAAAUCAACCACAUGAGCCAUCAUAUAUCUUCUUGUCAUAUGUAAAGGAACACUGAUAUCAAAGAAAUGGUUGUAUUUCCGUGGUCCUUACAAUGUUGAACACAAUAGACAAUAUACAGAAAUAAACAACGUAUAUUUUACUAAGUAAGUGAAUUGAGAAAGUAAAAUAUUUAUAUAGAAAUAAAGUCAUUCAUUAAAAUAAAGAUAAUCUGUUAUUUGUGGAAACAAAAUUAUAGAUGGGAGAAAUAAAAAGACAGAAAGUUGUUCUCAGAAAGUUGUUCUCAUAGAGAAAAUAAUUACUAGUCACUAAAGUUAUGGCAGACAUAAUGGAAGGGAGGGCUGAGACAGGUUAGUCAGUAUGUAAGGUAAGAUGCUUAAACACUAAACCAUCUCGGGUCAUCAGGCUUGGUGACAACUGUCUCUUCUGGCUAAACAGUUCCCUAUAUUAAUAAGUGAGAUCUUUAACAACCUAAGAGGCUUCUAUAAUGAAUGGAACAACACAGAGUGAAGAGACAACUUUUCCAUGAUAGAAAAUAUUUGCAAACUAUUCAUCUAUUUAAGAGUUAAAGUUUAUAGUACAUAAAUCACUCAACUGAACUGUAUAGCAAACUCCUCCUCCUCCUCCUCCUCCUCCUCCUACUACUACUACUACUACUACUAAAGUAUUGAUCAAAAGUAAGCAAAAGGUCCAAAUUUUUAUUUUUCAAAAGAGGACAAAAAUUGACC